GUGCUACCUUCUGCAGCACAUAUACUAGAACUGCAAAGCUACGAGUAAGAUUAGUAUGGCCCCUGAGCAAAGAUGACACGCAAAUUUGUAAAGCGUUCCGUAUUUUU